rnacentral:lncRNA from 1 species
CUGUUGCAAUCUUUUAUUUACAAUAAUAUCACACUAUAAUGAACAACAGCUUCAAACAGGUACAAAAUGAACAGGUGCAAUUUAUAACGAGAAGACACACUUUGCAUUUUAAAAUCUAUAUUCAAUAGGGAUGAAAUUAUUUGUGACAUUUAAGGUGGUACCUAACACUACAGGGAGAUAACUCUGUAAAAUCAGCUAAACGUUUUGAUUACGUUGUGUUGUAAAGGGAAUACUAAGCUUCUCAAUUAUCAAAAUUGGUGUUUGUCAAACUGCUAUAUAACCAGUGUAAUUUUUCUGAUAAAAUGGUUGGUUCAAAAUUUUUGAAAUUAAUAUAUUUU